rnacentral:rRNA from 1 species
AUGUUCUAUUACGGGCUAGAUUUCCAUGAUCCAGCCCCAAACUCCUUCCUCAUCAUCUCGGCAUUCAUCGUCGUGUGCGAGGCCUUCCUCCGCAUUCCACCCCACUUCGGACUGUGGCUUAAGCUCUUCAACAUGAAACCGAAGGUGGUGGAUGGCCAACACGCGGAGUGCAGAGGUGCCAUGGUGAGCAAGAUGCCCAAUGUCACAUGGCCCAAGGGUACUUUUGUGGAGACCAUCAAAGAGUGGCAGAAACUAUGGUUCUAUAUCACAGAGCCCCGCGACGCCACCUGGGCCGCGGCUCCCGAAUUCAAAUCCGGGCCCCCCAAUGCGGCUCACCUCCUGGCUAAAGAAGGGCCUGAAUUGGACUUCGUCGGACGAGCUGACGGCGCUGCAAGCGCGCAUCCAGAGCAUGAUGGAUAA